UGUAGGAUAGGUGGGAGGCUUUGAAGCGUGGACGCCAGUCUGCGUGGAGCCGACCUUGAAAUACCACCCUUUAAUGUUUGAUGUUCUAACGUGGACCCGUAAUCCGGGUUGCGGACAGUGUCUGGUGGGUAGUUUGACUGGGGCGGUCUCCUCCUAAAGAGUAACGGAGGAGCACGAAGGUUGGCUAAUCCUGGUCGGACAUCAGGAGGUUAGUGCAAUGGCAUAAGCCAGCUUGACUGCGAGCGUGACGGCGCGAGCAGGUGCGAAAGCAGGUCAUAGUGAUCCGGUGGUUCUGAAUGGAAGGGCCAUCGCUCAACGGAUAAAAGGUACUCCGGGGAUAACAGGCUGAUACCGCCCAAGAGUUCAUAUCGACGGCGGUGUUUGGCACCUCGAUGUCGGCUCAUCACAUCCUGGGGCUGAAGUAGGUCCCAAGGGUAUGGCUGUUCGCCAUUUAAAGUGGUACGCGAGCUGGGUUUAGAACGUCGUGAGACAGUUCGGUCCCUAUCUGCCGUGGGCGCUGGAAGAUUGAGGGGGGCUGCUCCUAGUACGAGAGGACCGGAGUGGACGCAUCACUGGUGUUCGGGUUGUCAUGCCAAUGGCACUGCCCGGUAGCUAAAUGCGGAAAAGAUAAGUGCUGAAAGCAUCUAAGCACGAAACUUGCCCC
rnacentral:rRNA from 1 species